AGUGAACGCUGGCGGUAGGCCUAACACAUGCAAGUCGAACGGCAGCACAGUAAGAGCUUGCUCUUACGGGUGGCGAGUGGCGGACGGGUGAGGAAUACAUCGGACUCUACUUUUUCGUGGGUGAUAACGUAGGGAAACUUACGCUAAUACCGCAUACGACCUACGGGUGAAAGCAGGGGAUCUUCGGACCUUGCGCGAUUGAAUGAGCCGAUGUCGGAUUAGCUAGUUGGCGGGGUAAAGGCCCACCAAGGCGACGAUCCGUAGCUGGUCUGAGAGGAUGAUCAGCCACACUGGAAGUGAGACACGGUCCAGACUCCUACGGGAGGCAGCAGUGGGGAAUAUUGGACAAUGGGCGCAAGCCUGAUCCAGCCAUACCGCGUGGGUGAAGAAGGCCUUCGGGUUGUAAAGCCCUUUUGUUGGGAAAGAAAAGCAGCAGGUUAAUACCCCGCUGUUCUGACGGUACCCAAAGAAUAAGCACCGGCUAACUUCGUG
rnacentral:rRNA from 1 species